rnacentral:antisense_RNA from 2 species
CUUCACCGAGCCGAGCCAGAGGGGCCGUCCGUCGGGGCGUUCCUUGCCGUAGGUGGCGAGCAGGGCGUCCGCCUC